rnacentral:rRNA from 1 species
CAGCCGCCGCGGUAAUACGAGGGGAGCUAGCGUUGUUCGGAAUUACUGGGCGUAAAGCGCGCGUAGGCGGCUUUUUAAGUCAGAGGUGAAAGCCCGGGGCUCAACCCCGGAAUUGCCUUUGAAACUGGAAAGCUAGAAUCUUGGAGAGGUCAGUGGAAUUCCGAGUGUAGAGGUGAAAUUCGUAGAUAUUCGGAAGAACACCAGUGGCGAAGGCGGCUCACUGGACGACUGUUGACGCUGAGGCACGAAAGCGUGGGGAGCAAACAGGAUUAGAUACCCCAGUAGUCCCUGUCUCUUAUAC